rnacentral:rRNA from 1 species
GAAGAACGCUGGCGGCGUGCCUAAUACAUGCAAGUUGAGCGCUGAAGGUUGGUACUUGUACCAACUGGAUGAGCAGCGAACGGGUGAGUAACGCGUGGGGAAUCUGCCUUUGAGCGGGGGACAACAUUUGGAAACGAAUGCUAAUACCGCAUAAAAACUUUAAACACAAGUUUUAAGUUUGAAAGAUGCAAUUGCAUCACUCAAAGAUGAUCCCGCGUUGUAUUAGCUAGUUGGUGAGGUAAAGGCUCACCAAGGCGAUGAUACAUAGCCGACCUGAGAGGGUGAUCGGCCACAUUGGGACUGAGACACGGCCCAAACUCCUACGGGAGGCAGCAGUAGGGAAUCUUCGGCAAUAGACGAAAGUCUGACCGAGCAACGCCGCGUGAGUGAAGAAGGUUUUCGGAUCGUAAAACUCUGUUGGUAGAGAAGAACGUUGGUGAGAGUGGAAAGCUCAUCAAGUGACGGUAACUACCCAGAAAGGGACGGCUAACUACGUG